AUUGAACGCUGGCGGCAGGCCUAACACAUGCAAGUCGAACGGUAACAGGAAGAAGCUUGCUUCUUUGCUGACGAGUGGCGGACGGGUGAGUAAUGUCUGGGAAACUGCCUGAUGGAGGGGGAUAACUACUGGAAACGGUAGCUAAUACCGCAUAACGUCGCAAGACCAAAAAGGGGGACCUUCGGGCCUCUUGCCAUCGGAUGUGCCCAGAUGGGAUUAGCUAGUAGGUGGGGUAACGGCUCACCUAGGCGACGAUCCCUAGCUGGUCUGAGAGGAUGACCAGCCACACUGGAACUGAGACACGGUCCAGACUCCUACGGGAGGCAGCAGUGGGGAAUAUUGCACAAAGGGCGCAAGCCUGAUGCAGCCAUGCCGCGUGUAUGAAGAAGGCCUUCGGGUUGUAAAGUACUUUCAGCGGGGAGGAAGGGAGUAAAGUUAAUACCUUUGCUCAUUGACGUUCCCCGCAGAAGAAGCACCGGCUAACUCCGUG
rnacentral:rRNA from 1 species